rnacentral:tRNA from 1 species
GCAUCAGUAGCUUAAAUAAACAAAGCACCAGUCUUGUAAGCUGGCCACGAAGGUUAAAAUCCUUCCCGACGCU